rnacentral:rRNA from 1 species
AUUGAACGCUGGCGGCAGGCCUAACACAUGCAAGUCGAGCGGAUGAAGGGAGCUUGCUCCUGGAUUCAGCGGCGGACGGGUGUGUAAUGCCUAGGAAUCUGCCUGGUAGUGGGGGAUAACGUCCGGAAACGGGCGCUAAUACCGCAUACGUCCUGAGGGAGAAAGUGGGGGAUCUUCGGACCUCACGCUAUCAGAUGAGCCUAGGUCGGAUUAGCUAGUUGGUGGGGUAAAGGCCUACCAAGGCGACGAUCCGUAACUGGUCUGAGAGGAUGAUCAGUCACACUGGAACUGAGACACGGUACAGAAUCAUAAGGGAGGCAGCAGUGGGGAAUAUUGGACAAUGGGCGAAAGCAUGAUCCAGCCAUGCCGCGUGUGUGAAGAAGGUCUUCGAAUUGUAAAGCACUUUAAGUUGGGAGGAAGGGCAGUAAGUUAAUACCUUGCUGUUUUGACGUUACCAACAGAAUAAGCACCGGCUAACUUCGUG